rnacentral:rRNA from 1 species
UCAGUUGGUUUUGGCAGCGCGAGGACUAGGGUAAUGAUUAAUAGGGAUAGUUGGGGGCAUUAAUAUUUAAUUGUCAGAGGUGAAAUUCUUGGAUUUAUGAAAGAUUAACUUCUGCGAAAGCAUCUGCCAAGGAUGUUUUCAUUAAUCAAGAACGAAAGUUAGGGGAUCGAAGACGAUCAGAUACCGUCGUAGUCUUAACCAUAAACGAUGCCGACCAGCGAUUAGGAGACGUUGAAUACAAAACACCACCAUCGGCGCGGUCGUCCUUGGCGCGUUCGUGUUCACGCACGGGCGGCGCGAGGGCGGUUUAGCCCGGUGGCACCGGUGAAUGACUCCCCUAGCAGCUUGUG